rnacentral:rRNA from 1 species
UACGUAGGGGGCAAGCGUUGUCCGGAUUUAUUGGGCGUAAAGCGCGUGUAGGCGGCCAUGUAGGUCUGACGUGAAAUUCCGAGGCUCAACCUCAGCAGGUCGUUGGAAACCAUAUGGCUAGAGUCCGGAAGAGGAGAGUGGAAUUCCUGGUGUAGCGGUGAAAUGCGCAGAUAUCAGGAAGAACACCAAUGGCGAAGGCAGCUCUCUGGGACGGUACUGACGCUGAGACGCGAAAGCGUGGGGAGCGAACAGG